UUAAAGUGUCCGUAGCCGGUUUAGUAAGUUCCUGGUAAAACCGGGCAGCUUAACUGUCCGUAUGCUAGGAAUACUGCUAUGCUAGAGAGCGGGAGAGGUCUGAGGUACUACAGGGGUAGGGGUGAAAUCUUAUAAUCCUUGUAGGACCACCAGUGGCGAAAGCGUCAGACUGGAACGCGCCUGACGGUGAGGGACGAAAGCCAGGGGAGCGAACCGGAUUAGAUACCCGGGUAGUCCUGGCCGUAAACGAUGCAUACUAGGCAAUGGUGCGGCCAUGAGCCGCAUCAGUACCGUAGGGAAACCGUUAAGUGUGCCGCCUGGGAAGUACGGUCGCAAGGCUAAAACUUAAAGGAAUUGGCGGGGGAGCACCACAAGGGGUGAAGCUGCGGUUCAAUUGGACUCAACGCCGGGAAACUUACCAGGGGAGACAGCAGAAUGACAGUCAGGUUGACGACCUUACUCGACGAGCUGAGAGGAGGUGCAUGGCCGUCGCCAGUUCGUGCUGUGAGGUAUCCUGUUAAGUCAGGCAACGAACGAGAUCCGCGCCUUUAUUUGCCAUCAAGAAGUCACGACUUCGUUGGAACACUAAAGGGACCGCCGUCGAUAAGACGGAGGAAGGAGCGGACAAAGGCAGGUCUGU
rnacentral:rRNA from 1 species